rnacentral:rRNA from 1 species
UACAGAGGGUGCGAGCGUUAAUCGGAAUUACUGGGCGUAAAGCGUGCGUAGACGGCUAUCUAAGUCGGGUGUGAAAGCCCCGGGCUCAACCUGGGAAUUGCAUUCGAGACUGAAUAGCUAGGGUACGGUAGAGGGAAGUGGAAUUUCCGGUGUAGCGGUGAAAUGCGUAGAUAUCUGGAGGAACACCGGUGGCGAAGGCGGCAUCCUGGACCAAUACUGACGCUGAGGAGCGAAAGCCAGGGGAGCAAACGGG